AUGAACGCUGGCGGCGUGCCUAAUACAUGCAAGUCGAGCGAACGGACGAGAAGCUUGCUUCUCUGAUGUUAGCGGCGGACGGGUGAGUAACACGUGGAUAACCUACCUAUAAGACUGGGAUAACUUCGGGAAACCGUAGCUAAUACCGGAUAAUAUUUUGAACCGCAUGGUUCAAAAGUGAAAGACGGUCUUGCUGUCACUUAUAGAUGGAUCCGCGCUGCAUUAGCUAGUUGGUAAGGUAACGGCUUACCAAGGCAACGAGGCAUAGCCGACCUGAGAGGGGGAUCGGCCCCACUGGAACUGGGACACGGUCCAGACUCCUACGGGAAGCAGCAGUAGGGAAUCUUACGCAAUGGGCGGAAACCUGGCGGAGCAACGCCGCGUGAGUGAUGAAGGUCUUCGGAUCGUAAAACUCUGUUAUUAGGGAAGAACAUAUGUGUAAGUAACUGUGCACAUCUUGACGGUACCUAAUCAGAAAGCCACGGCUAACUACGUG
rnacentral:rRNA from 1 species